rnacentral:rRNA from 1 species
GGCGGCAGGCUUAACACAUGCAAGUCGAGCGCCCCGCAAGGGGAGCGGCAGACGGGUGAGUAACGCGUGGGAAUCUACCCAACCCUACGGAAUAACACAGGGAAACUUGUGCUAAUACCGUAUACGCCCUACGGGGGAAAGAUUUAUCGGGGUUGGAUGAGCCCGCGUUGGAUUAGCUAGUUGGUGGGGUAAUGGCCUACCAAGGCGACGAUCCAUAGCUGGUCUGAGAGGAUGAUCAGCCACACUGGGACUGAGACACGGCCCAGACUCCUACGGGAGGCAGCAGUGGGGAAUAUUGGACAAUGGGCGAAAGCCUGAUCCAGCCAUGCCGCGUGAGUGAUGAAGGCCUUAGGGUUGUNAAGCUCUUUCAGUGGGGAAGAUAAUGACGGUACCCACAGAAGAAGCCCCGGCUAACUUCCUGCCAGCAGCCGCGGUAAUACGAAGGGGGCUAGCGUUGUUCGGAUUUACUGGGCGUAAAGCGCAC